CAAUCGGAAUUUAACAUAAGUAAAAUGCGAUAUAUAUACAAAAUUAUUCAAAACUUCUUUUAUUAAAUUACUAAACAAAAAGGUUAUCAAAACAUACCUUUGAGAAAACGAGAUCUUCACGGCAAAAAUCGCAAUAUAUUUCAACAGUUUUUAAUCGAACGGGGUGUUGAGAAUAAAUAGCUUGAAUAAUAAUGAGCCGCAGAUUCGCGCGUUGCAUUUCGGGAAGACCCUCAUUCCUCCUCUGGUCACUGAUCCUCUCGUAUUCAAGAGCCCGCGAUUAUUGCGCCCGCUUCUGUUACGCUGCUUUACUUCAUGUAGCCCUGGCAAAAUGAAUAGGAAUUGAAAGCGAACGCUAAAUUGUCAAAACAACAUAUGUCACUCUGGUAUGUCACGAGAAUUACAACGAUCGGCGACAAACUCGGCAAUUGUUUGGGGCAACUAGAAGCUCCCAUUUCAUUAAUAUGUAUUGAACCAAACGAAUUCAUUGAUAUUUGUCACAUGAGCCUUAUUUGAAGAAUACAACUAUUGAAAUACUACAGAAACCGGGACAAUAAGAAGAAAACCUGGACACCGGGACAACAUAGUCCAAACCGGGACAGUCCCGGGUAAACCGGGACGGUUGGAAUGUUUGCUUUGGCAUAAUUUGGCACUGCUAUAGACGACCUUUGUCAAAGUAUAUGAAAUAUAUUAAUAUUAUUAAGAUAUGUUAUCAUUUUAAUACUUGAAAUAUAAGUAUUGAUGUGAUAUUUUCAGUGUGUUGAAAGCUGCAAAUUGCAGCACAUUAUUUGCCCAAAAUUCAAAUUUGGGAAUGGGUUAAUGAGCUUCAGGUGUAUAAAAUGAUGUUUGUAAAGCUGGAAUAAGCACUAUAGUCACUAGCUAGUGCUGAUAAAAAGCCUCAAAUGUUGUCCUUUUACAUUUUUAGAUUAAAUAUUGCAGCUGGGCUAUAGCCCGGCUCAAAAUAUUGUUCUCAACAGUUGGAAAUUUCUGGAUUGAGUUGGCAAACUGGUGUUGUGAGGUAAAAAUAACACUGUCCAAGUUUAUUGCAAUUGAUACAGAAUAUCGUAGCCUUGCCUAUAGCCAAACUAGUCUUCUUAAUUAGUGCUUUAUAUGAAGAAAAUUAUAUACUGGCCUAGCUAAAGUGGCCCCCCAAGCCAGACAAAUCAGUCUGGAUCUUGUAAACACCCCUAAGCUGGGCCGUGGCAACUGGUAUGUGUUUAAUUGAGUUAAUUAAGAGAGGAUGUCCACAAAAAUCAAACAUAAGGCGGCCACGACGGAAAAAUCGAUUUUGCUCAAAUUUUGCCCAGAUAUACCUUAUUAUAUCGGAAAAUGCACCAUAUAUUUUUUUAGGUCAAAUGCUUUUUUAACUUUGAGAAAAUGCCGUUUUAACACGACCACCCUAAAUCGCCAUUUUGUCUGGGAAAAUAUGCGCUGAUUUUACUGACAAAUUUCACGACGACAACCGUUUAUAAUCGAUCUAAAACCCUAAAAAUCUUGUUUUCGGUUAUUCAAAGGACCGGGUAUUUAAUCCAUUGAGCAAAACUGCUAUCCCCUUGAAGAGUAAAGUUGUCUGGUGUUAGACAGAGUAAAAUAAUAAAGUAGCCAGGAUGCAAUGAAACUUAAUGGGUAACAUUUACUUAUUUUUCAUUUUUGUAUAGUAAUGCCAUGCCUAAUAGAUAUUGUUUCCAACUUGGAAGAGCAAUUACGACUCUUGCAAA
rnacentral:lncRNA from 1 species